rnacentral:tRNA from 1 species
GGGGACGUAGCUCAUUUGGUAGAGCGCAGCGUUCGCAAUGCUGAGGUCGUGGGUUCGACUCCCAUCGUCUCCA